GUUUACAGAAAGUAUUAGAUAUGACUAUAGGGUGUGACAUCAUGUCUCCUUUAUCGCGGUACACUGGGUUUCAUACUGCACUGGUGUAAUACUGUAUAACGGGACUAAACCUCUACUGCGGUACUAGAGCCAUGAAAACGUGAAUCCACACACACUGACGCACCAUGACUAACUUUUCCUGCAUCUGCACCGUGUGGAUCAGUGCCUGGGUGGACCUCCUCUCUGCAGAACCUGAGAUCAGUGUAUCUGGCCCAGUGGGUUCUACAGCUGUCCUGCCGUGUCAACUGACGAGUGUAGACACUGACAGAC